rnacentral:misc_RNA from 1 species
AAUUGUGUAUGCAGCUUUAUUUGUUACCAAAUAAAGUUUGAUUUUUCAUAACAAAUUUGUUUAUUUAUAACCUUUGUUAAAUAUCUCCUUAUAAUGCACUUAUGUCCUUCAUUUCACAAGUCAGCAGACCGAAAUUUUAUGGCUUAAAAUUGAAUGGCAUAACGUGUGAUAGCUGUUGGAAUAAAGUAAUGGCACUCUUUUUUAUGUCCAUGGCUAUGAUUUUUUCUUCAGAUCAUUAAAAUAUAAACCAUUUUUGUUAAUCAACGAU